GAGUUUGAUCGUGGCUCAGAUUGAACGCUGGCGGCAUGCCUUACACAUGCAAGUCGAACGGCAGCAUGAUCUAGCUUGCUAGAUUGAUGGCGAGUGGCGAACGGGUGAGUAGUACAUCGGAACGUGCCCUGUAGUGGGGGAUAACUAGUCGAAAGAUUAGCUAAUACCGCAUACGACCUGAGGGUGAAAGUGGGGGACCGCAAGGCCUCAUGCUAUAGGAGCGGCCGAUGUCUGAUUAGCUAGUUGGUGGGGUAAAGGCCCACCAAGGCGACGAUCAGUAGCUGGUCUGAGAGGACGAUCAGCCACACUGGGACUGAGACACGGCCCAGACUCCUACGGGAGGCAGCAGUGGGGAAUUUUGGACAAUGGGCGAAAGCCUGAUCCAGCAAUGCCGCGUGUGUGAAGAAAGGCCUCGGUGUUAAGA
rnacentral:rRNA from 1 species